CCCGCCGCCUCCCGCCGCCCGGGGAAAGCGGCGCGUCUCGGUCCGGCUCGGAGCAGUGCGGCGGGAGCAGCGGGCGCGCUGGGAGUCCGCGGCCAUGGCGGAGAAAGUUUCGCCGGCUGCCGAGCGGCCGCGCGCCGCCGGAUCCUCUUGCUCCGGCUCCUCCUCCGGCUCCGAAACUCUGUCCGAGGAGGGAGAGCCCGGCGGCGGGGUGGCGGCGGCGGCUCCCGGAGCGGAACGGGCGAGCCGUGGCGGGCGGGCGGACGAGGACGAUGCUUCGCUGGAGGAGCGCGAUGAGGAGAGCUGUGAACUUGCUUUAUUCCUCAGACAGUGGAAGCUCUGUGGCCGAUGUCGGGAUGCUGCUCACUGUUAGGUAACUAAUACGACCAUCUUCUCAGCAGGUCUUGCACACACACAGGUUGUGCUCACUGCAGUGUGGUGCUGGGCGUUUGGCUGGUGGGUGUGCACAACGCUGUGUGGAACACACAAAGGAUGCCUGUUUGGUUAGCAGCUGCUGGCAGGCUGGUUAACUUCUGGGCAGGACUGGUUAUUUCUCUGUGUGCUUUGGAGAUGAGUUAAAAGUACAAGGAUGAUAAGAAAGAAGUCAACGCUGAAUUCAUUGGAAUUAGCAAAUUCUGUAUGGUCAAUCAGAUGCUUCAUCUGCAGUUCAUGAUACUGGAAGAGACCAACAUAAACUCAUUUUAAUGUAGUGGGGAAAGGUUGCUUGGAAUAUACAACCUUACUUCUCUGUUUCUAUUCCCCCCCUUAUGGUUUGCUUCAUUAUCUGAUAAACUUGUUUUUGUUUCCUUUUUUGUGCUGUGGUUUUGCCAGUCCUUCCAUUUUGGGGUAAUAAGUGCUUGCAGCUGAAUGUCCGCCUGCCUGCAGAGCCAGCUGACAGAUCAGCCUGUGUAAUCAUAAUUUUUUUGUGUGUGCAAGGACACCAAAAUGUGUUAGAGUGCAGAAAUGAACCAAUGUGUGCUGAUUCAAAGCUGAGAUAUCAUCAGUGUUAAACUUGUGAGGGUAGUAGUGAAAGACAGGAGUAAGGUCUGAGAUGAGCAGUGCAGGUGGUUUCAGCCUUUGUGUGCUGCUUGUCAAAAGCUGAGUGUUGAGAGUUCUUGUAGAUCCUAUUUUCACAUAGACAUCUCACUAAUUACCACCAGAGAAUGAAAAUGUGAAUAUCCUAUCCAGUGCUCUGUCUUCUGAGUACUUUUGGUAUCAUGGAGCUUCAACACUUGGUUCUGCUAUCCCAGGCUUCAUUUUUCCUCUUGCCUUGUCCUUGCUGCUGCUGACAGCUUAGUAGAAGUCUCUUGUUGCUGCUGCGUGGUGUCCUUUGGACAGCAGUAAAACCAAGUGUCCCCGUACUUCUUUUGCUG
rnacentral:lncRNA from 1 species